rnacentral:rRNA from 1 species
AUUGAACGCUGGCGGUAGGCCUAACACAUGCAAGUCGAACGCGAAAGUCCUUCGGGAUGAGUAGAGUGGCGGACGGGUGAGUAACGCGUAGGAAUCUAUCCUGUAGUGGGGGAUAACGUUUCGAAAGGAACGCUAAUACCGCAUACGCCCCAAGGGGGAAAGCGGGGGAUCUUCGGACCUCGUGCUAUAGGAGGAGCCUGCGUCGGAUUAGCUAGUUGGUGAGGUAAAGGCUCACCAAGGCGACGAUCCGUAGCUGGUCUGAGAGGAUGAUCAGCCACACCGGAACUGGGACACGGUCCGGACUGCUACGGGAGGCAGCAGUGGGGAAUAUUGCGCAAUGGGCGAAAGCCUGACGCAGCCAUACCGCGUGUGUGAAGAAGGCCUUUUGGUUGUAAAGCACUUUAAGCGAGGAGGAGGCUACCUGGAUUAAUACUCUGGGAUAGUGGACGUUACUCGCAGAAUAAGCACCGGCUAACUCUGUGCCAGCCGCCGCCGUAACAC